rfam:Sarcophilus harrisii ctg7180001431758, whole genome shotgun sequence.
UGGCACCCACCCGUAGAUCCGACCUUGCGGGGCGCCGGCCACACACAAGCUCGAGUCUGUGGGUCUGUGUCGG